rnacentral:rRNA from 1 species
AGUCUGUUGUUUUUUAUAAUAGAUCUUUUCUGCCCGGUGUGUAUUUAAACGGCCGCGGUAUUUUGACCGUGCAAAGGUAGCAUAAUCAUUUGUCCUUUAAAUGGGGACUGGUAUGAAGGAAAGGACGAGAUCCUUGCUGUCUCUUUUUUGUUGUUGGAAUUUGCUGUUUUUGUGAAGAAGCAGAAAUUGUAUAAAAAGACAAGAAGACCCUAUUAAGCUUGUAUUUUUUUGUGUUUCUUUGUUGUUUUUGAAUAAUAUUUGUGAGGGAAAGUAAAAAUUUGGUUGGGGUGACUGGGGAAGAAGAGAUCUUCCUUGAUAGAUAAAAACUGUAGGUUUAAGUUUGACCCAAGAAGUUUUGGUUGAUAGAAUUAGUUACUAUAGGGAUAACAGCGUAAUCUUUUCAGAGAGUUCUUAUUGGAGAAAAGGUUUGCGACCUCGAUGUUGACUUGUUGUUUCCUUAGAAGGUGUAGUAGCUGUUAGGGUUGGUCUGUUCGACCAUUAAAACGAUACGUGAGUUGAGUUCAGAUC